rnacentral:lncRNA from 1 species
CAAAAGCUGACUGAAUAGUCUAAACACAGUGUUGCUUUGGAUGCCAGCACUGUGCACACGUGCACACGCACACACAAACACACAGUAGUAUAGAGUAUUGCUAAGGUCGUGUGUGUGCUUAACCCAAGGAGCUCUGUGAUCCAGAAGCCAUUCAGAGUUCACUUGAUGGGAAUGUGAAACUGGAGUUAAAAAGCACAGGGAUCUUCUUUGGAAGAAAAAACUCAAGCUGGCAUGAAGAGACCUGGGGUGGUCAACACCAAGUGACCCCCUGGACACUGUCUUGCUUCCUCCCUCACACGGCAUUGAUGGUGACAACUGAGGAGAAUGGGCACCAACAAUUUCAGAAGCUUCCAUGAGCCAGGAGUCUGGCCUCUGGUCUGUAGGUCUGGUGGCCAGAGCCCGUGUUGAGAGCCACAACCAGGUCAAGAUGGCGCCUGGCACUUUGCCAGAAGGAGUGGUUGAGAAGUAACGCCAGCGAGCCAUUAAGAUGAUGAUAAUUAAGUUAAGCUGUGUAUAAUUAUUAAGAUAAUGACUGAUUGCUGUAACUGAUGAUGCAAAAUUGAAACAAGCUGUGUAUUCAGUUGUGUAUAUAAACCUCUGCUGUCCGGCAAUAAGGCGG